CCUACGGGAGGCAGCAGUGAGGAAUAUUGGUCAAUGGACGAGAGUCUGAACCAGCCAAGUAGCGUGAAGGAUGACUGCCCUAUGGGUUGUAAACUUCUUUUAUAUGGGAAUAAAAUGUUCCACGUGUGGGAUUUUGUAUGUACCAUAUGAAUAAGGAUCGGCUAACUCCGUGCCAGCAGCCGCGGUAAUACGGAGGAUCCGAGCGUUAUCCGGAUGUAUUGGGUUUAAAGGGAGCGUAGGUGGAUUGUUAAGUCAGUUGUGAAAGUUUGCGGCUCAACCGUAAAAUUGCAGUUGAAACUGGCAGUCUUGAGUACAGUAGAGGUGGGCGGAAUUCGUGGUGUAGCGGUGAAAUGCUUAGAUAUCACGAAGAACUCCGAUUGCGAAGGCAGCUCACUGGACUGCAACUGACACUGAGGCUCGAAAGUGUGGGUAUCAAACAGGAUAGAUACCCCUGUAGUC
rnacentral:rRNA from 1 species